UUUUUUUUUUUUUUUUUUUUUUUUUGAUUUGCGAUCUAUCAAAUUCUUACUUGAGUAGUUGUACUUGCAAUGGUUACAAUCUAGAAAACUAGGAUUUAUCUGUUUAGGUUAUGUUUUGAGAAUAAAAUUCUUGAGUAGUUGUACUUGUUUUGGUUACAAUCUAGAAAACUAGGGUUUAUCUGUUUAGGUCAUGUUUUGAGAAUACUCUCAAGAUGGAUAUUUAUAGUCUACCUUGGGCUUGUAUUUCCGUGACUUAGACUCUAGGUCACACCUUUUGCGUUUAUGAUGCGAUCUAGAUUCUUUUAGAAGUUUUUCGAAGGCGACGACUCAGAUGGGGGUGCUAUGCCCUUAAUAUAAUAUUGGUUUGUGAUCUCUAUAAAAUUCUUACUUGAGUAGUUGAUUUCAAAAGUUUAUAUGUAAAGUGAAUGUUUAAAUGCCAAACAUUGCAUUGAACUUAGGAGACCUUCGGAUCAUGGUUCAAAUGUUUUAAACAACUCAAUUGAGACAAACCAUACUCAAUGUGUGAUUUGCUUAAUAACUGAAUCAUACAUGUUAGUUCAUGGUUCAACUAAAUGAACCGCCUAGUUUGGUUUGGUUUUUAAAACAUUGAUAUAAACUUUAAUUGAAAGAUAAUGCAAGAGAAAUACUUUGAAUGUAUAGAAAUUAUUUACCCUGAAGCAUUGGAUAGGACAAUACAAAUUAUAUGUAAAUUUUAACACAUUAAUUUUAAAUAAGUUGAUUACCCUUUUUAUAUAUAUAUUAUUUUAAUAUUUUAAUGUAUUUCCUUUACAUUGCAGGUGCUAAUUGUAUGCUUUAUAUUAUCCACGGCUGGUUAUGCAUCAAUGGCUAUAAUUGGUUACUUAAUGUUUGGUUCCAAAGUUGAUUCACAAAUAACAUUAAACUUACCACUAAACAAAAUAAGUUCAAGAAUAGCAAUAUACACAACAUUGGUGAAUCCAAUAUCCAAAUUUGCUUUAAUGGCAACACCAAUUACAAAUGCUUUAAAAGAUUUACUUCCAAGGACAUACAAGAAUAAUAGAGUGACCAAUAUGUUUGUGAGCACUGUCCUUGUCAUCAGCACUGUUAUUGUUGCAUUGGCUGUUCCUUUCUUUGGGUCUCUCAUGUCACUUGUUGGAGCAUUUUUAAGUGUUACUGCUUCUAUUUUGCUUCCAUGUUUGUGUUACUUGAAGAUUUUUGGAAGCUAUAGUAAAUUUGGGUUUGAGACAGUGACAAUUGUAGUGAUAAUAUUAGUAGCUAUAGCAAUGGGAAUUUCUGGAACAUAUAUUUCAUUUGUCGAAAUAGUACAAAAUUUGCAAUAGGUAAUGUAUUAUGUAGGGCCUAGGAUCAUCUCCCGUAUAGUUUUCACUGGAGGAGGUCCGGUGUCCAUCUCCACCAUUCAAUCUAUUUUUCAUUAAUUGAAACUGCACGUGUAAGAAAAACGCGAGGGCUUAGACUACACAUGAGACAAAUUCCAUGGGAGAGGAUCUCCUCCCGUUAUGUUGUGGACCAUUCUCUCGUGUAUCUCUCCAGUGAAAUCUCGGCCGUUGUAUUUUUCAUCUUGUGAGAAUGAUAAGAAUGUUUUUUCAGAAAUGCAUUUCUAUAAGAAGUUUCAUAUCAACUUUCUUAUAUCAUUUUUUGGCUAAGGUUGUAUAUAUAUUUCAUUUCAUUCAUAGGUAAAUGACUAAAAAUACACAAAAGGUAUAUAUGAGUUUUUUUUUGCGUAAAAAAGUAUUAGUCUAACAUUAGUAUAUACAAAAAAUAAAGGGUGAUAAAUAACUUUUGAAACAAGUAAAAGCAAAAACUGAAAAAUGAAAAUACUAUAUGAUCUUAAAGUAUAGACUCUAGACUAUAUGAACUCAUAUACAACUCCAUCCUACCACAUUAGAAAGCUAUGAUCAUUCUCAUGCUUCAAUCAUUUCCCUUAUAGAGGUUCUAUCAAUCUUAAUUGAAGAAAUAUCUAUAAAUUCUGACAAGAUUGAUUUAAAUUCAUCUCCACUAAGUGUCUCAUUUUCAAGCAACACAUCAACUAAUUUAUCAAUUGCAUCACGAUUAUUCUUUAUGUGAUUCUUUGCAACUUCAUAUGCUGUCUCAAUUAUAUGUCUCACUGAGUUAUCAAUGUCCUCAGCUAAUUUUUCAGACAUUGAAUUUCUUGCCAGCAUUCUUAGCACUACAUCACUGCUCUGAACUGAAGGAUCAAUUAAUGUCCAUGGUCCAAUCUCAGACAUGCCAUAUGUUGUUACCAUCUGUUGCAAAAUAGAAAUCACUUUUGAGAUAAAUUUUAUUUCCAUAAUAGCGUCCUUUUGUUUAAGAUUGAAAUAAAAGUGAUUAUUAGAUACAAUGAUUUAGAGAUUAUUUUUAGAGAUUUUUAUAUAAAGAUUAUAGACCAUUAAUCUUUUCUUAAACCACUUCGCCUUGUCCCAAGACUCGUGCUUGGGGGGCUGUGGACCGCCAAUAUUAAAUUAAGGGCUUGCUAGCUCUCAAUAAGGGCUUCCCUGGCUCUUCGCCCAUGACCUUGAGGGGCGUAUACCGCCUUUCCCAGCUUCUAGAGCGCUCGCCUACUAAGUUGGGGCCUAAGCUACUUAUGGCCCAAGGCACGAAAACAAGACCUAUAAAGGCUAUAAAUACCACCUUUGAGUGCAUUCUCAAGGCAUGACCUAAACAGAUACUAAACCCUAGUUUUAGAGAUUGUAUUCAUCGCACGUACAAUUUCGUAACAAACCGUUUUAUAUAAAGUUAAUUUCGUAACAAACCGGCUCUUAUUAGCAAAAAAAAUUUAAAAAUUAAUUUUUCUCUCAUAUAAUAUGCAACAAAUGUGCUCUUAAUCUAACCUGUCUUGCUAUCUGUGUAAUUUGUUGCAAGUCCCCUGCAGCUCCAGUGGUUAUCUCAGUUUCACCAAAUAUGACUUCCUCUGCAGCUCUACCUCCUAGGCCACCAACUAUUCUAGCAAAUAGUUGAUUCUUGGAGAUAAGAAAAGGAUCAUCACUUGGUAUGAACCAUGUUAAGCCCUUAGCUUGGCCUCUUGGAACUAGAGUAACUUUUUGUACUGGAUCAUGUCCUGGGGUAAGUGUCCUGCAAUGUGGCACACAUCAAUCUAGUGUGUUUCAUGAAAAUUAUAUACUAUUUUUAAAAAUUAACUUGUUUAUAUUGAGUUUGAACUUUGAAGUGAACUGAUUCAUAUUUGCAUAUUUUUACUCUAAGAACAAUUUUGAUGUAAUAUUUAAUACAAAAUUUUCAACUUAGAACGGAAACAAUUUUUUAUUAUUUAUGGUAAAAUUGCAUCAACUGUCCUCUAUAUAAUGUGUUUAUAUCGGCUUGGUCCUUUAAGUUUUUUCCCUGCCAUGCAAAUUUUGAGAAUUAAAGGACCGUUUUGAGAAAAAGACAACAUAAAGGAUCAAUCUGAUACAAGCGCGUAACUUAAUGGACGGCAAAUGCAAUUUUUCCUAUUAUGUUUAGUCAGACCGAAGUUUAAAGACAAUGAAAACGAUGUUACAAUUAAACACUACCAGCAAUAUGGAAAAGUAUAUGAUGUACUUACGCACAAAUAGCAUGUCCAACUUCAUGGUAAGCCACCAAAAUUUUGCACUUGCCAUCUGUCAUCGUGGUUCCUUCCAUGCCUGCGACAAUUCGAUCAAUAGAGUCGUCGAUUUCUUUCAUUGUGAUCUUCUCUUUUUGCCUUCGACCAGCUAGAAUGGCUGCUUCAUUCAUGAGGUUUGCCAGGUCCGCACCGCUGAAUCCUGGAGUUCUCAUGGCAAUGACACCGAGUGAGAUAUCUUUGUCAAGCUUCUUGUUGUUACUAUGAACUUUCAAUAUUUCUUCCCUCCCUCUAAUGUCUGGUAAUCCAACAGUUACCUAUUGUAACAAUCACAAAAUUAUUGUUAGAAUAGUAAAUGCGGUUCUAAAGUAAGAAGAUGAACACACGAGAAUAAAAGGAUUGAUCUUGAGUUCGACGCCUAUGUAUCAAACAGCAUAGUAGCUCCUGUACUUUUCUAUUGUGCAGUAAAUUAGGGUUUAAGGGUAAAAAGCUUCAUUUAAGUACCAUGAUUUAAAUUGCUACAGCAAAGCGUAAAAAGCUUCGUAAAAAGCGUAAAAAUCUUUGUGAUGUCUACAAUAACAUCGCAAACGCAAACUGCAAUUUCAACUGGAUUGUCCAUAUUUUCCUGCAUUUUACUAGAAUAUAAAGGUUUGCAAAGUAACCGCGACCACAAUUUAAAUACCACGGUCCGCUAUGCACUAGUUUCUGCACAUGAAGCCCGAACAUAGACACCGGACACGACACAGACACGUCAACACCAGUAAUAAUUUAAGAAAGUGAACCAAUCAUAUAACCACAUGUCUGAGUGUCACAUACCAGACACACCUGCAAUCAAAAGUGUUGGCGCUACACUUUCAACCCAGUUAUAUCGGCUAAUAUGAGUCAUACUUAUCAAUAUUUCAUCUAUUUAUCUGCUAGAUUUAAACUUGAACUAUAUAAAGGAUUUAAAAAAAUUAGCAGGUAAAUUUACCUGUCUAUCAAACCUCCCAGGUCUAAGCAAAGCCGAAUCAAGAAUUUCAGGUCUAUUAGUAGCAGCAAUAACUAUAACACCAGUAUUACUAUUAAAACCAUCCAUUUCAGUCAACAACUGAUUCAAUGUUUGUUCUCUUUCAUCAUUCCCUCCACCAAUACCAGUACCUCUCUGUCUCCCUACAGCAUCUAUCUCAUCAAUAAAUACCAAACAAGGUGAAUUUUCUUUUGCCUUAUUAAACAAAUCUCUCACUCUUGAAGCACCAACACCGACAAACAUCUCGAUGAACUCUGAACCAGAUAGAGAAAAGAAUGGAACUUUUGCUUCUCCUGCAAUUGCUUUUGCUAACAAUGUCUUUCCUGUCCCUGGUGGCCCUACUAAUAGAACUCCUUUUGGAAUUUUUGCUCCCACUGAUGAGAAUUUCUCAGGGGUUUUUAAGAACUCAACUAUCUCUUGGAAAUCUUGUUUAGCUUCAUCAACUCCUGCUAUGUCCUCAAAUGUCACUCCUGUGUUUGGUUCCAUCUCAAAUUUUGCCUUGCUCCUAAAGUAAAAGGUAAUGAAAACAAAACAAUAUUAAGAAACUGAAGGCAGUCUUAGAUAGUAGUAACUGCAAGUACGGCUGCAAUGGAAAGUUUCUGUGACCGUAUCAGGACUGCAAUCUUUCAUGAUAUCAAGAAUCACGAUGUAGUCUCAAUCGUGACCACAAUUUAAAACAAUGAAGGAAAUUACUUGGAAACAAUUUGGAUUGAUUUAUUUGAACUUAUCUACUGACAUAAGCACGUGUCAAUUUGUUUGAGAGAGCUUAUGAAAAUAGGUUACGACAUGUCCUUUAGUUUUUUCUAUUUCCAUAAGCUCCCCGGAAUCCAAAUUAGCUUAUAAAAACAAUUUAUAGUUGAUAUGAAAAGAGUUUGCCUUUAUUUUAUCUUUUGUUAUAGAAAUAGUCUAUACAUCAACACUAAUCUAAUAAGUGCUUAAUUAACCUUUUUAUUCAAACAAAUCAUAACAACUAACUCAUUACUUAGAGAAUAAUUUUUAUGUACUAUCAGUGUAAAACUUUCUAUAGCGUCAACCGAUCACAAACCAUCACAUUUGUCUGACUUUUAAUUUGAUAUAAUGGAAGUCAAACUUUUACAUGAUCGAACAAUUAUGAUCGACUGACAGUAUAAAAAAUCUUUACACUGUCGGUGCAUAUACGGAAUUAAAUCCUUAUAGUUAUAUGGAAGUUUCACGUGCUACAAUUCAUACCUUCCUAAUCCAAAUGGCAAGUUAGGGCCACCAACAGAAUUAUUUCUAGAUGUCCUAAGGAGUAAAGUACCAAGCAAUAUCAAAGGAAAUGCCAAAUUUCCCAAAAGAUCAAGUAUUGCAACUCCCCAAUUUGUAUCCAUAGGAUAAACACCAAAGUCAAUAUUUUUAUCUUUCAUUUUCCUAAGUAACUCUUGAGGCAACCCUGGUAACUGAAUUUUAACCCUUUGGAAUUUAUCCAAAGUUGUAUUAUAUAUCUCAGCAAUAGCAACUGUUCCAUUCUCUAACAAGUCCACUUUCUUAACAACACCUUCAUCCAAGUAUUGCAAGAAUCUUGAGUAUGAGAUUCUAUUUGAGGUUGAAUCAAUUGGGCUCUCAGGCUCAGCUUUUGUGGGCUUAACAACACAAGAUGAGCCCAAUCCAAUCACACUUGAUGUCAAUAGCUUCCUCUUUGUGACCUUGGUGCCUAACAAAGUUGGUGUUUCUUUGUUGUUGGAUUUUGUAUGGUUGGUGUCUUUGUAAAUGUUUUGAGGCUUGAAGAUUAAUGUGGAAGGCAUUGAGAGGGAUAGAGUAGAAGACAUUUUCUAACUUAUUUGAUGUUAUACAAGAGUAUGGUUUUGUGAUUACACUUUUUUUUUAGUUAGUAACUUAAGAAGUGUGCAAAAAUUGAUUCAGAUGAAAAAGUUAAGUUAGUUUAAAAAGAGAGUCAGAAACAUAAGAAACUUCUGGUGCCUUCAAUUUGGAAUUUUCUUAGUAUGAUUUUUGUUAUUUUGUCUUGUUUUUUGUUCAUGAAGGGUCUUGUAUGUUCCUCUUUCUAAAGAUCCUUUGUUUUAUUUUCUUUGAUUGUUUUGAAAAGGGGGAUCAAUGGAUAUGAUUGUUCCAUGCAAAAAGCAAACAAUGGAGAGAGUUGUAAAUGAUAUCAUCAACACAAGUUAUAACCACACACUUGGAAGAAGUUGAUGGGGAACACAUUGUUAUGUUGUUAUUUUCCGUUUGACUUGCAAAGAAAGAUGCUGAAAUUAUGAAUGGAUAUGAUUUGACUUGGCAUUUUCUAGAGAAUGAAUUGGGUUAACAAAGACAUUAGCUACUCAUAUUUGUUUAACAAAAAUGUUGGUUGACACUUAUAUUUCUCCUACCUCGUUAUACAUAUGAUAUGACAUUUUAGUAGAAGAAACAAUGAAUGAGAGUGUUAGAAAGUCUCUAAUAGGGAGGCAUUUAGAUAAUAAGGACAUCAACUUGUUAAAGAUCUUUAUUAAAGAAAAAAAAUACUAUUUAUUAGUUACCAUCAAUUAUAUAAAGAUUCUCUCUCCUCAACAACCAACGAGUCUCACAAUCAAAAGAAUAAAUAAAAUAUGUAUAAUUUGUCUAUCUUUAAUUUUUCUUAUUCUUUUAAAUACACACAUAAAUGACACAAUUCAUAUGCACAUGGUGGGACCUAUUUAAGAACUGUCCGUUGGAGUCUUUAUUUAGGUAUUAUCAUUGGAGUGAUUUGAUUAUUAAUAAGUACUUUUAUUAAAAUAAUUGUAAAUAAAUGUGUGUACACGUGUGGUCCAUUUAAAAGAUUCUUAUUAGUUUACUAUCAUUGUAGAUACUAUUAGGUGGGGUGGUAAGGGUCACAUGGCCAUGUUUCACAUUUGUGUGUGAUGCUAGAAGAUGUGUGUGCCACCUAUAAUGAUCAAAGUAUCACCAUUCUUUGUUUAAUUACAACAAGGUGUAAUUAAAUUAAUAUUAGAAACACUUUAUUUUCCUUUAAAAAAAAUUGUUGUAGAAAAACUAUUUCAUGUAAGAAUUUUGGAGCACCCCUUCCUUAUAAAUAUGUUCGACCAUCUUGCCCAUUCGCCUUCCUUCCAUUAUGCCUUGAUAUAAUUCUCGACUUCACAACACCAAUUUCGCCCAAUUCAAAUAAUUUUGUUUCCAUCACCUUCUCUUUGUCGUCUCUGCACCCCCUGUUUUGUUUAAUUUUCUCAAUGGAUAUUUGGAAAUCCUACUCCCCAAGCCACCUAUGAAAAUUGAUAUUCACACUUCUAACAAGGCUGAAACACAACAGAAAAAGACGUAAAUGUCCAUCGGCAGUUAACUGCCACCAGUUAAAAUCCAUCGAUAGUUAACAGUCGAUGAGGUUAUAUUGGUACUGGUGUUUCCUAGCAUUGAGUGAAGUGUGAACAACAUUCUUCGCCACCUAUUUUAUGGCCAUAAAAUUGGCCCAAAAAUAGCAAGGGGAAUAUGGGCCUUUGCAAGAAUAAGCCCAACCCUCUCUAUAUUAUUUUCUCCCAAAAAAAUCAGACCCGCAUGUGCUCCUUCCCCAAGUCAGACAUGUGAACAACACCCACACCCCACAAAGUUGCGUGAAACAUACCUCCUUCCCUCACAUCACAUGUUGUAGACACCUCAUAGGUCUUCUCCCUCUGCUCAACUUCUCUUUCUUGUGCCAGCUUUUGCACUAUAAUUGGCACUGUUGUCAACCUAGGACCCCAUUCGCCCCUCUUUUCCUGAUCAUCCAGAAAAUUAUUUUUUCCCUCCUUCCCAUUUGUACCCAAAUUGUAAAUUGACCUAUCCUCUAGUCUACACCCGCUAUUCUGAACUUGUAAAGCCAUACCUGACCCAUCGCCAUCUAAACUCUCAUCGAAAAAAUUAUGAGAACCCAAGUCAACCCACACAGCUUCGCCGGAAGCCACAGAUGAACCAUCACCCUCAAUCGAACUACCUUCACUGUUGUUCCUCCGCCCAUUCAUCCACCGUAAAUCUUCUUCCUUCACCCAUAUCUUGUACCUUAUACCUACAAUUGAAAUGGUGAAAGAUCCACCUAUUAACCCCAUUUUAAGAGAAAAACACUAGGAUCUAUGCCACAUCUAGAUGGUUCCUUUGAAUUGUAUCACUGUAAAAUCUAUGAAUUCUCUGAACUUUGAAUCAAGAAGGUUGAAGAACCCUUCCUCUCAUGCAUGAAGGGGGAUUCCAAACACUUGAAGCCAUACUCUUCUCCUCCUUGCCACUUUCUCUCGAGACCAUUUUAUGAUAUCCUUGAAAUUUGACUCCCACAAUCUUUUGUUCACAUAAGAGUUCUCUAGAUCCUCCAACACACUCUCACAAACCAUAACUUCCAUCAUCGAAAAUAACUUCCCGACCGUCUGAAACUCAACAUUUGCAGAUGUACCAACACAUCUUUUCUCCACAGGAUUGCUCAUAAUUUGCAGUUUCUCAACCCUUUCAAAACGUGCCCUAUUGAUCUUCGGCUUCCUCCCAUCGAACCAAACAUCCCCCAGCCUCUUUUCAAGCUCCUCUUCAUUGUUCACCUCCUUAAACAUCACAAAAUCAUAUUUUCUCCCUCAUUGAUCCCUCUUUUGAGGAAUAUAGACUUUCCCCACCUCCCAUAUUUAGCAAAAAGUUUCCAUAACUCUUAUCAUUUUUACCUCAUCUUAAAAGUUAGUGAAGAAGAAGGGGAUGGUAACCUGAUCAAGAUUAUUCACAUAACCUUUCCUCCUUGUCGGGUGUGCAUUUCUCGCCUUUUAAAAAACCCAUAUGGGCCCCUUUUCUCCUUUGUUUCUCUCUCAUCUCCCUAGAUUUUAAUUUAUUUAUAACAUAAAUGAUUAAAUUGAAAGAAAAAAAAAAUGACAAAAAUGUUACCUAAAAUUAAAUCAAGGAACAAAUUAUGUAAUUUUGUCUUGAUUUUCAAUAACAUCAAUAAUAUAGUAGACAUAAUAUAUACUCUUAUUUAAAAUCCUGUCAUGACUUGUUUGGUAGCUUAGUUGGUGGUUCUGUUAACUUUGUUAAUCGCUCUUCUAAUGUAGCUGCUCAUGAGCUUGCUCAGGCCCAAAAUGCAUAGGAUCACGUACUUAGAUGAGGAAUGCUCCUCUUAAAGUCUGGUCUUUGUUCUCUCUUGGUUUGUUACUUUAAUGAAAGAGUGGAUUGUAAAAAAAAAAUAUAUAUUCCAGAUGACAUAGAAACAACCCAUAAAAAAGGAAAACAAGAGAAAAAAUGAGAAAAAAAGAGUUGGUUGAAACUAAAUAUAUUUUUAAUAAUGGUUUGGUGAUUCUAAUGUUUUGGCAAAUAAAAACAUGAGUGAUAUAGACAAAGAAAACAUGAGAAUAAUAAUCAGUUAUUGUUUUAAUAAUUUUUAUUUGAAAAUAAAAAAUUAGAUGAUUUGGAUCAUAGAGCUCCAAGGUUAGAACAUAUCUCAAAAUCUACAGAAAUUGACAAAUCUAUUAAGAGAUUACCCUCAUGGAUUAGAUGGUCAAAUUUCUUACCAAGUGAAGUAGACAGAUAUCAAAUUUACCACAUAUAACACUUUAUUAACAACUAAAAUGUAAGUGACCACUUACAAUUCUUAGAUAAUGUGAAUUGAAUUUAAGAUGUAUGUCUACGUAUAUGACUGACUCAAUAAAAAAGCAUGUGGUUUGUUGUAUAUGACGUUCAAAAUAAAAUUUGAACCAAACUGAAUCAAAUCAAUGUUGUCAGGGUUGGAUCGGUUGGUGUUGUUUCUUAAUGCAACUAGACCAUCGACCCGUGGUAACUAGGGUUGGGAAUAGGCCAGGCCAGGCCAGGCUUUGAUAGGCCUGAGCCUGGCCUACGAAAAAAUUUACAGGCCUGAGCCUGGCCUAUGGCCUUUCAUAGGCCUAUUAUUUUGGCCUGGCCUGGCCUAUUUAAAAGCCUGGUCUGGCCUGAAAGCCUAUUUACAGGCCUACUUACUAUUAAAGUCACUAAACAUUCCAUUUUAUCUACUUUUAAAUAGGCUUAAUAGGCUUCAAAGCCUAUUCCAGUGUAAGAUUUGUCUAUCACUAUAAGGCCUUAAAAACAUAUUUCACUAUAAAGCUUUAAAGCCUAUUUAAAAAGUCCAUUAUGAAGCCUAACAUGCAUAAACAGGCCGGCCUAUUAGGAUUCAUAGGCUUUUUUUAUAGCCUAAGCCUGACCUAUUUACUUAAAUAGGCUUUUUAAAAAGCCUAAGCCUAGCCUUUUUAAUAAACAGGCCAGGCCAGGCCAGGCCAGGCUUAAACAGGCCAGGCCAUAGGCCCCUGUAGGCCGGCCUGGCCUAUUCCCAACCCUAGUGGUAACGUAAUAUUUGACGGUAAUAGGUAACAAAAUAGUUUAGAUGAAUGUCAUGAUUGUCAUAUAAUAUUUCAUAAUAUUAAGAAGCAUAGAUGUUGGUAUUGUACCAUAACAUAAUUUUCGAUGACAUCGUCCUUGAUACCGUAAUGUAACAUUAUAGGUUAAUUACAGGGACGGAGCUAGGUACUAAUGAAAAGGGGCAGCCGCCACCCAUGAACCCCGAUAGGACUCAUGUGCAUAUUAACCGUUCGCCACCCAUGCUUUCAUAUCCACUUGGUUCACUUAUACUAAAUUUUAUUUUUUUAAUUAAAGGUCCGCUCAUGUUCUCUUUUUUCUUACCAUCCACUCAUAUUUUUUUUUAUAAUAAUUAAUAAAUAUAGCAUAUUGAAUUGAUCAGUCUAUUAAGUUUUAUUCCUAUUUUCAAGUGGAAGCCAACAACGUUUGGGAAAUUAGGGGUGAUAGAGAUACCCUAAAUCAUACAUUCAAGAACAAUUAUAUUCUAAAGUUCCAAUUUCUAAAAAUUUCAAGUACCGCAACACCUCAAGAUUUAGUAGUAUAUAUUUGUUAUUGUUUAUCUUGCAAACAAAGUAGGAGCAAAGAAACAAAAUAGGAGGAAACUGUUAUAGGAUGGACUCCGUUUAGUGAAAACAAAGUAGCAACGAUGAGUUGAAAAUAGGAGCAACGAUUAUAGGAUGAAGCAGUUAGCGUCCGGGUUAACUUUAAUAAAUAAGAGAUAAGAGAUCUCUCCGUUUGAAAAUAAGAUUUUGAUUAAAUUAACUAAAUUCAAUAGGUUUAAUUAAACAGGGGUAAUACAGUAAAAACAAGCAUAGAAUUUAGGUUAAAAUUAAGGCAACAGUUAACGUCCGGGUUAACUUUAAUAAAUAAGAGAUAUGAGAUCUCUCCGUUUGAAAAUAAGAUUUUGAUUAAAUUAACUAAAUUAAAUAGGUUUAAUAAAACAUGGGUAAUACAGUAAAAGUAAGCAUAGAAUUUAGGUUAAAAUUAGGGCAUCAAUUAACAUCCAGGUAAACUUUAAUAAAUAAGAAAUAAGAGAUAAGAGAUCUCUCCGUUUAAAAAUAAGAUUUUGAUUAAAUUAAUUAAAUUAAAUAUGUUUAAUUAAACAGAGGUAAUACGGUAAAAGUAAGAUUAUGGCAACAGUUAGCGUCCGGGUUAACUUUAAUAAAUAAGAGAUAUCUCCGUUUGAAAAUAAGAUUUUGAUUAAAUUAAUUAAAUUAACUAAAUUCAAUAGGUUUAAUUAAACAGAGGUAAUACAGUAAAAGUAAGCAUAAAAUUUAGGUUAAAAUUAGGGCAAUAGUUAACGUCCGGGUUAACUUUAAUAAAUAAGAGAUAAGAGAUCUCUCCGUUUGAAAAUAAGAUUUUGAUUAAAUUAAUUAAAUUAAAUAUGUUUAAUUAAACAGAGGUAAUACAGUAAAAGUAAGAUUAUGGCAACAGUUAGCGUCCGGGUUAACUUUAAUAAAUAAGAGAUAAGAGAUAUCUCCGUUUGAAAAUAAGAUUUUGAUUAAAUUAAUUAAAUUAACUAAAUUCAAUAGGUUUAAUUAAACAGGGGUAAUACAGUAAAAGUAAGCAUAAAAUUUAGGUUAAAAUUAGGGCAACAGUUAACGUCCGGGUUAACUUUAAUAAGUAAGAGAUAUUAAAAUCGAGUUAAAAUGAUAAAACACAACAUAUUUUCAACAAUGUUUCCGACAAUGCUUUAAAUUUCAUCCAACAUUACAAUUUUAUUUUCACUAAACAACAUAGACCAAAUUAAAAUAUGGAUAAAAAGUAAUCUUAUUAUGUAAGAAAUGUAAAAGACUAAGAUUUUAUCAUUCUCUAAAAGUUCAAUUAGCACGUAAAUAUAUUUUUUAAAAAGAAACUUAACAAGAGAAAAAAAUAUGUCAUUUUAUAAAAGUAUUCAUUGAGUUUCUAUGAGUAUUGGUCUAGAUGACAUAGAUUUAAUUAGGAUUUUUCUUGUGUUGUGGUUUGGUUUGGUUCGAUUCGUAAUAAAACCACAAACCGAACUAAACAAUGCGAUCGAGGAAAAAAGUGAUUAGAAUACAUAGGAACCAAAUGCGCUUUUUUGAGGUUUCGAUUUAGAUUGGUUCUAUUUACGAUUUUCGUAUUGGAUUGAUUCAGUUUUAAACAUCUUUACUUUAAAUUUUAAAAUUUAAUAAAAAAGUAAUUUUUGUUGUUGCACUUUAAGUAAAGACUUUAGAGACCAUGUCCACACAGUUGCGUGUAAUAUUUUGAUCUUUAUAUACAUAGAUAUAUAAGAUGUAUAACACAAUAGAUAUUUUGUCAAAAAACACAAUAGAUAUAAAAUACAAAUAACUUUUAUCAUCUAAUUUAUUGUUUAAGUCUACCCGUGCUAAUCCAUAGUGCAAUUAAAUUUUUCCUAGUCAAAUAUCCGCAAUAUGAUAAGCUGAACACAGUAUAUCAACUUCUGCUUAUUCAUUUCAUGUGCACAAUUCACAUUAAUCUUCACUUCUUAUGCUUAUGGAUAUGCCUCUUUUGAUAAGCAAGUGCACAUUUUUUAUUUUUACAGAAUAAGCAAGUGACACAUUGAUGAAUAUGACGCAAAGCUAAAAAAUAUUUAUGUGAGAACACUUGCCUAAUAACUUUAGACCUAGCGAAGAACAGUUAGCACAUCCCACCGCCUAGUUUGGAUGCAAAAAGGAAAGAAAAUAAAAAGAAAGAUUGUUUAAAGAAUGAAAGUGAGUGGAAAGAGUAGAAAGUAAAAUGAUUUUUUGGUUGUUUGGUAUGAGUGAUAGUGAAAAGAAAGUGUAAGGAAAGAAAGAUGAGACUGUUUGUAAAAAGACAAAAAUAGCCAAAAAAACAUUAUAAUAAAAGUGGGACCAAAAUGAUGGAGUUAGAAAUAAAAAAUAAGGGUGUUUAUGUCUUUUCAUUGUAAAACACCCUUUCAUCCCACUUUCUUCACAAAAUGGAGGGGAUUGUUUUUGCACGUGGGGCCCACCAAAAAGUAACUUUCUUUUGCCUCUGACAUAUUAAUCCAAACAAUGGAAAGAAGCAAUAUCAGCCAUCUUUCCAUCCUCAUACAAUCUUUUCUUAGGCUUUGUUUGAAAGAGAAAAGAAAGUAGUAGAAAAGAUAGUAAGAGGAAAUAUUGUUGAAGGAAUGAAAGUGAGUGGAAAGUUAGAUGAUUUUUUGGUUGUUUGGUAUGAGUGAAAGUGACUAGAUUAUGUGAGAAAAGAAAGAUGUAUAUUUAGUAAAAGACAUAACUAUCCUUUUAUAUGUGUAUAUUUGUAGAAUAAAUCUUAAUUUGAUUAUUAUUUUAUUUUUGUCAUUAAUUAAUUUUUAUUAAAAGUUGCCAAUGCAUUAGUAAUAUAUAUAAAAAAAAAUGUUUAUGAAAGAAUAGUAAAAAAAAAGCAAAAAACAAAUAACGAUUUAACCUAAAAGCCCAGAUUAAAAAUAAAAAUGAUAUGUAAAUGUUAAUGUGCAAAACAAAGGGUAGAUACGCCAUUUCUGGGCAUUGAAACUUUUCACCAUGCUUUCUUCGCACUACUGGAUGGAAAAGUUUCAACCCAUGGGCCCCAUAUAAAGUGAAAAUUUCUUUCCUCUCUGAUAGUGAACCAAACCAUGGAAGAUACGGAUUACGGAAAACAUUCCAUUAUAUUUCUAUUUGUCCUCCCUCAAUCUUUAGAACCAAACAGCCCCUUAAUGUUUCUUUGAUACCAAACAGCCCCUAAGAUUCCCUGUCUCAUUAAAGUCAAUGCUGAAAAUUUUGACUAAUCUUUUGAAUAAAACAACCGAAACUGAAAACAGAAAAAAUAUUAUAAAUAAAAUGACCAUAAAUUUAUUUUUUUGACAGAUGACGUUAACAUAAAGUUAUCUUUUUAAAGGAUGAUAAGAUAAAUUAUAUAUAAAAGGAAAAUCAAGUUGACAAAAUUAGUAAAGAUAGCCCAAUAUUUAGUUAGCUCCUAUUUGUUUAUGGGAAACUGGUUAAGAAGGAAAAUAUAGUAGUUUUUGCAUCAAAAAUUGUGUAAUUAAUUUUUCAAAAGUCAAAAAAGUGUCUUUUUUAAUUUAAUUUUUCCUCUUUUAGAUACCGUAACCAGUGCUCCAGGGGCACCGGUUAACAGAACCCUUUGUUUAUAGAUGUAGCACCAUGUAUUUACGAUUAUUGAUAUCUAAUGAUUUUUAUUUUUUUUUGAGAAAAGUAUAUAAUAUCUAAUGAAAUGUUAUAAGCAUAUUUUUCUAUAAAAAUAAAAAUAAAAAAUAGAAACAAGGUGACAAAUUGAACAUUGAACCCUAACUGUUACAACUUUUCUCCUUUUUUAUCUACCAAAGAGGGAGGAUUUAGAGACAAUUUUGACUCGAAAUCACUCCUUUAGAUUGUUUUUCCGAACGUCCACCAUAAACCACCACCAUGAGAGAUAAUAUUUGUUUAAUGUUGGAUGUUAAAUGAAUAUAGUCAUUAAACAAGUGUCCAUGUAUCACCAUCAAAAAAUAAAAGUGUGACUAAAACAACCUGGUCCCCACAAAUGUUUCAUCUUCUUACCGAUGUGAAGAAAAAUGGACAUGGAUUGUCUGCUGUAAAAACAGCACGAUGUUCAGAUUACAUGUUAACAAAACCAACAAUAAACAAUCUCAGCCAUUGGUUCUAGAUCAGAAAGCUAUUAUAAGUAACAGCGUGACACAGUUACAGCGUCUAAUCCAUUUCCAAAAAAAAGAUAGUAUUCUACUUAAGGAAUGACAAUUAGACCCAAUUUCAGUGGGCACCCGCCAUAUACCCACAAUGAUGAAUAAAUACCCACAUUGUUGCUAAGAGUUUGUGUAAUUAUUCUCAAAUUUAAAUUAGUGUGAGUGCUAGUACGGACAAUCUAGUGCCCAACCGACCCCCUGCCCGCACAUUAUAUUGAAUAUAACUAUACUUUAUAUAGUAUUGAAAUUAUUUAAUCCUAAACCCUUGAUAUUAAUUCUAAUAUAUAUGCAAUUGUAUUUUAUACUUUAGAUACUUUUUAUUUGGCUAGAUACUAUGAUGUGUAACAUUUUAUAAGUUGAUUACAUACCGUCUUGUAUUUUUCCUACUUUCCGGAAUGAAAUAAUAUGAGUUUGUUUCUGUAAAAAAAAUUGAUUUAAAAGAUUUUAGAUCAUAUUUUAAUUACAUUGUGAUGUUAUUUAUUGUCUUUUUGUUGUUAAAGUGUGAAUAAUGGAUGCAACUACAAGAACUUAGCAACUUAAGGGUUACGAUGGAGGACCCCAAACUUAUUGCCCACAAGGAUACAUUCUCGGGUAUAACAUUUUUUAUAAACGGAGGUAUGGAGAUGGACACUAUAGUACGCUGCCUAAGGGAUACAUGUUGCCAUCUCUUCUACUUUUUUUGUUUUCCUUUUAUGGCCUUGCAUUUGUAAUAAUGUUGAGAGUAAUAACCCUGAAAACUAAUUAAUAAUUAAAUUAAUGAUCUUAAAUAUUUAAGAAAAUUUAUUGUACUAUUAAAAAAUAAAAUGUACAUUCUAAUGAAUUAAUUUAUUGAGGUUCUAUAAAAAUUAAGUUAAAAAUAAUUUAUACUUUCUUCUUAUAUUUUUCUUUAAGAUCAAUUAACAUAUUAAAUCUACUAACCUGUUUGUUUGGAUUGAUGUUGCGGUGUUAGCUUUAGAUCUUGGAGUGUGAUUCUCUCAAAAUUUCGUGUUCCAUUUUCCCGAUGUCAAUUUCGGUAAGAUAGUUUGACUUCAGCAAUAAAAAAUAAAUCUUCUUUAUUUCCUACUUCUUUCUCUUUUCUUAAUUAAUUAAAUAAUUUUCAUCUCUUUUUCUAUUCUCAAUUUCUUUCCAUAACUGAUCACACCACCCUAUUUUUUUUCACAAAAAUGUUUACGUAAAUUGAGCCUCGGAAACUCACAAGAGUAUUGACAAACCUCAAGACUUAAACAACACUUAAAAAGUUACAACGUACUUAUAGAUAACCUAUAAUAGAAGUUUCCACAUUGAUGACCGAAGUUAAACUCGCACCUUUACGAGAUAAAAGACCAACCUGACAACCUAAUUAAGCUUCACUGGCCUAUUCACAACACCUUAAGUGAACUUAACACAUCUUAUUACUUUUUGACAAUAUGGACAUUUUCUUGAGUACUUUCUUUGUCUAUGAACCACAUACAUCAUUAAAUGAAUGAAUCUAAAAAAUCAAUUUUGUUUAUAUUAAAAAACGGAGGAAGUACCACAUAACAACUUUAGGAAAUAUUUUAUCAACAAAGAUUAACAUAGGAGAUAAAGCCUACACUAGUAAGAUUUACAAUACAAGUUGAAUUUUGUUCCAACAAAAAAUAUACAAGUCGAUGGCAUACAGAUGGCGACAACCAUAAGAGGCAAUCUCUAUGAGAGCAAAUUGAUGUUUGACACAAUUAAAUAUUUAAGUGAUGAUAAGCAACAUCGUAAUCAAAAGCAACAAGUAUCAUCAUAAUAAACAUUGCAAAAUUCCAAAAAAUCUAAACUAUUGCCUAACUUUAGGCAACAUAGGACUGCGAUAAUUAGAUUUUUAAUUAACUAUUCAUUUGAUUUUUUUCAUUAACUAGUAAAAGACACAUGCAAAACUUUCGCACGGGUCACGUAACAUUACGAUAAUUAUAUGAAAAAUAAUUAAAUUGUUUAACACUGUAGAAUGUUCGUAGACAUUAAAUGAAAAUUAUGAGUGUUAAUGUAAUUUUAUUUUUUAGGGAAGAUGAGUGUUAAUGUAAUGUUUUUAUUAAAUAUUUUUCACAUAUACAAAAAUUUGUUGAAGAGUUGAGUCACAUCAGUUAUGGAUUUUAUUUGUUUAUAUAUGCGAAAACAACAUUUUAUGUAGAUAUAUGAGAAAGUUGAUGUGAUAAAGUUUUGAAAAGUCAUGACUAUUUUCAAAAUCAAAAUUAAUGUAGUGCUUCUAUUGAAUAACUCUUUAUUUUAUACGCAAAAGACUGUUCAAUGUUUGCACUGGACCUGUUGUAAAUUUUAUGUACUUUUAUUUGCAUAAACAAUUUUUUAAGUACAUAUAUGAGAAAGUCGAUAUGAUAACAUUUUGAAAACUUAUGACUAUUUUCAAAAUAUCAACAUUAAUGUAGUGUGUCUAUUAAAUAAAUUUAUAUUUUAUAUUUAAAACACCAUUAAAUAUUUAAACCGCACUCGUUAAUGAUUUAUAUAAAAAACAAAUAAAUUAAAAUUUUCAAAAUAACAAUUUUCAAAAACACCAUUAUAUUAGUAGAUCACAAUUGAAAAAGACUGAUUUGUCCGCUUUUCUUUCGUGUUUAAUUGUAUAUAAAAAGAUAUCAAUUUAAUAUUAAUUAUGAUCAAAUAAUAUUUUGCUCAAAAAAAAUAUGAUCAAAUAAUUUUCAUAAAUAAAAAAAAAAUAAACUGUUUUCUUUUUUUAUGCGUACUCUAAACUUGUUGCCUCAUUAUUUUAAAAAUAUCCAUCAUUCUAAAAUUGGCACAUCAAUUAAAUCUUUCUUUUUAAAAAACCAAUCAUUUAAACCUUUCUUUUACAAACUGUUUUAUUUUUUGAUGCGUACUAUAAACGUGUUAACUCAUAAUUCAAAUUGGUACACGAGUAUAAUACAUGUAAGGUUUAAGGUUCGAACUUCAGAUGCCAUAAAAAAAAAUUGAUACAUGAGCAUAAACAAGUAUGAAAUUCAGUAUAAGGGAAAAUUUCAGAAAUUUUAAAAAUUGAGGGAUGUUUUAGAAAUUUUACAAAAGGAAGAUCAAAAUGCUAAAUUUGCAAAACCAUAUGAGCUAAGAACACAUUAAAUGAAAUAUCUAAAAUUUAGAGUUGUUAAUGCUGUCAAUGAGUAAUGCAAGAUGUUACCAUCAUUCGUCCACAUCCAAAAAUAUGAUUUAAUUUAAUUUUGUAUUGUAAUUUCUUUUUUGCUAGUUGGUUAACUCAGUUUUUAAUUUAUAUACACACAGUAAAUUAAACAAGCAUAUCAUACUAUUAGAAAGUACUCGAGAAUAAUUAGCAUGAGUCUCUUCUAAUUUAAUCAAAAUCUUGAGUUGGAAUCCAGUUUUGAACAUGCAACAACGUUUAAAUUCUUAAAGAGAGUUCAUAACCUAUUUGAUUUCCACAAGGUUCGAAAGAUUAUUCUUCACAAGUUAUGCACGGAGGAUAUCCGUUUUAAAAAAAUAUAAAUAUUAUUAGAAAGUUGAUCUUGAUCCCUUUAAAUACUUGAAGCCGUCCUGCUUGAAAGUUGUGAAAAGGAAAUUUAGUAUAAAUAAAUGCAAAAUGAUAAUUGAUAAGUAGGAUAUGAUAUCAGCUUGUGCUUAUUCGUUUCUAUGUAGUUGGUGCAAGUUGUACCUACUCGUGAAACCUUUUUUAUGAUAAGCAUGCAAGUGACUACAAAGCAAUAAUUUAAAGGUCUUCUUGACGAUUGCUCUUGGAGCACUCUUUAAGGAUUUUAAAAGAAAAAAUUAUUUUAUUAAAAAAUCAAAUAUUUUGAUUUCCGAUGCAUUGAUUACACAUAUUUUCAUAAUAAAUUUUAAAGGUCUUAAACUAGUGUCUCGAAGGUACGGGUUAACAUUUCCCAUAAUUUAAUAUCAAACAUAAGCCAAUUAUUUAGGAGUGUGUUUUAAUUUUCAGUUUUCAUGAAAAAAAAAAUUAAAGGUCAUGUUAACUUGUAUCCUAAGGGCACGUGUUAAGGAAUAAAAAAAAAAUUUUAUUGGAUUUCUCGAUAUUUUAAUUUUUAAGAAGUCAAAUACACGACUCUUGAUAAGUAUAUUUAUAUAAUAAGUUUCUUAACAUACGACCUUGAGGAUACAAGUUAGUAUUUGCCAAAACUUAGGCACAUAAUCUACCAAACAAUUUUGAAAUUGUGGUUUUAAUAUUCAGGAUGACUCUGACUUCAUUCUCCCAUGUACGAGACCUUAAUGUCAGACGUAUAAUUCUCAUACAAAUGAAAAGAAAAGACAGACAUGAAGACAAAAUAAAGUCAUAAAUACCAACUUGAAAUUCACAAUAAUGGUUUCUUUUUAAUUUGAUGAAAGUGUUUGUCGAAUGAGUGGUGAUAUUUAAACAACUAUUUGAGACAACUUUAAUGAUAAUUUUUUUUUUUUUCUUUUUAUCGGUCAAAUACAAUAGAAAAAAAAAAAAAGAACAGAGAUAAUAAAAACAUAAAAAGAAUAGAAAGAAAAUUGUCAAAAAAUUAUCAUAAAAUAAUUGUACAAAUAUAAUUUAUUUUCACGAAUAUAUAUGACUCCCAACAAUGAUCAAAGCAUGGACUCUUACCAUUUUUAAUAAAGUAGUAAAUUUUAUAAUAAUAAAAAAUGAAAGAGAUGUAAUAUUGUACUCUUGAUUCUUCUUAAUUUUUUUUCUUCAAAAUAUAUAAAUGUUAGUAGAUAGUUGUUAGGUUAACAUUUAUUUAUUCUCGUUCAUGCUCGAACUCAAGAUCUCAAACUCUUUAUCUAUUAGUUCAAAUUAUUACUUUAGCAACCCAACUCAAUUGUUAGUUUAACAAGUGCUUUUGGAACCCUUUGCACAGGGCACUUUUAUUGAAGUCCACAUAAGAUUUUUUUUUUUAAUUGUAUAUUUAACAUGUUAGAAACUUUAAAAAUAAACCUUUUCUACAUGAGAUUUAUAAAUAAUUUUCUCUUUUAAAUCAUUGACAAAUGUCCUAACGAUACUUGUUAGCAUAAUUCAUAAGUUAAUAUGAAUAAUCAAUGUAGUUAUCUCCGACAGCUAGCAAAAUUGGAGUACACCUAUAACAUGAUAUGCUAUCGAGUGAUGAUGAUUGUGAUUUGUGAUGGGCUAUAAUGUAUCCAAUUGUAUCACGUUUCUUCUCAUUUUUCUUCCCCAGCUGUUUUACCCUAAACUUUUCCUUUGAAAUUUUAUAAAGGUCACAUUCUACGUGUUAUUUAUUAUUAAUUAAAAAAACGUGCAGUGAAUCUCCUCCUAAUGUACUUCUAUAUAUACUUGUUCAUUCUUUCAAAAAUAUAUACUUGUUCAUCCAACUUAAACUCUUCUCCCAUAUUCUUGCAAUCUCAUUUAUUACUUGAAAGGUGACAUUGUUUUUUUUAGGAGGAUCACAUUGUAUUUUGUUGAGAAGGUUAGUUCUCUCAUUUUAAUUUCACUUGUUUCUUGAUUAUCUUAAUUAAUUUUUGGGUUCUUGCUAACACACAUUUUAGCAUUUUCCUUAAUUUCUCUAUUUCUAAUUUAAUGUAUUCAUUUAUGAUUCUGAAACUUUUUUUUCCCAUAAACAAAUAAUAUUAUUAUGACAUCCAAAUAUGAGACAAGGGAUCAAUAUAUGAAUAUGUAACUUCAAACCGAUAGGUACACGAGACUUGAAAAAACUGGUCUAAAAGUACCAUUUUAUAUGACAAAUAUUAAUAUUAAAAAAAAUUGUUUUGAGAAAUUAAUAUUUAUGAAUAAAGAUUUCAGCACAAAAUGGUGAACAAGGAGCUGGAGGUUUGCACAUUGGAUGGAUCUAUUGAUAGCCACGGUCAUCCUGCUGUUCGAGAGAGAACUGGAACUUGGUUUGCAGGGAUUUUGAUUUUAGGUAACUUAAUUCAUCAUCACUUAAAGAAAUUAUAUUUUAACAUACAAAGGGAAAUAUCUGCGAAUACAAAUUUUAUAAAAGUAUAUAUUAAUUAAUGUUGAAUUUUGGCAUUAUAUUAGUGAACCAAGGGUUGGCAACUCUAGCAUUUUUUGGUGUGGGAGUGAAUUUGGUACUAUUUUUAACAAGAGUUAUGGGUCAAGACAAUGCUGAUGCUGCAAACAAUGUGAGCAAGUGGACAGGGACAGUUUACAUCUUUUCUCUUCUUGGAGCUUUCCUCAGUGACUCUUACUGGGGAAGAUACAUCACUUGUGCCAUUUUCCAAGUCAUCUUUGUUGUUGUAAGUAUAAUACUUUAUUUCAAAGGGUUAAAUAAAUAUAUUUUAAUAAUUUAUUUUAAAGGGUUAAAUAUAUUUUUAAUCCUUUUAAAUAUACAAACUUUUAUUUUUAGUCUCUUUAAAAAUUUCUAUUCAUUUUUUUUUUUAUCUCUCUAACAUUUAUGUUUUUAAUUUUAGUUUCAUCUUUUCAACAAAAGUUUAGGUUUCAUAUUUUGAACAACUUUUUUUAAUGACAUAACCGAUAAGACCCUAAAAUAUCAUUACCUUUUUUUUUGUUGAAAGAAGACCAUAAAAUAUCAUUAGUCUAACAAUUCCACUAUUUAAUCUUUAUUAAUUUAUCAAUAACUUUAAAUUAAAGAUUGAAUUAUUAAACUAAUGAUAUUUUAUGGUUUUAUCAAUAUAAAUCAUUAAAAAAAGUCGUUUGUGACAUGAACUAUGAACUUUUGUAAAGAAAAAAAAUAAGGACUAAAACUGAAAACAAAAAUUUAAAGGGAACAAAAAUAAAAUUAAAAAUUUUAAAGGGACUAUAACUAAAAUUUAGUAUAUUUAGAAAAAUCAUAAACAUAGUUAACCCUAUUUUAAAAAAAAGUUAUUCAAUUCUACAAAAUAUUGAGAUAAACAUAUAUUAUGAGAAUUAAUAAAUUUCUAUAUGACAGGGUUUGGUGGCAUUAUCAUUGACAUCUUACAUCUUCCUAUUGAAACCUAAUGGUUGUGGGUCUAAAGAAUUACCUUGUGGAACACAUUCAUCAUAUGAAACUACUUUAUUCUAUGUAUCCAUUUAUCUAGUAGCCUUAGGAAAUGGAGGAUAUCAACCUACCAUUGCUACAUUUGGUGCUGAUCAAUUUGAUGAAAGUGAUCCUAGUGAACAACACUCAAAAAUAGCAUUUUUUAGCUAUUUUUAUUUGGCUUUGAACAUUGGAUCACUCUUCUCAAACACCAUAUUGGACUAUUUUGAAGAUGAUGGACUUUGGACUUUGGGAUUUUGUGUCUCAGCUGGUUCUGCUGCCCUAGCAUUGGUUUUGUUUCUUUGUGGCACAUCAAAAUAUAGAUACUUUAAACCUGUUGGAAACCCUCUUCCUAGGUUUUGUCAAGUUUUUGUUGCAGCAAUAAGAAAAUGGAAGGUCCAAAUGUUCGACGGUGAAGAUAAACUUCAUGAGGUUGAAGAUUGUUUAUCCAAUGGAGGGAGAAAAAUGUACCACACACAAGGCUUUAGGUAAGCAUUUUAGUUAUGGAUUUAACUUGUGAGUGAAGUUACAGUUACGUGGAAAACCUUUAUAUUGAAGUAAAAUACAAACAAAUAUGGUUGAUGCGGCUACAAUUGCAUUUGUGAUGUGAUUGCAAAGACAUCUAAAAUCGUUAUUGUAUGUUUGUGAACUCGAUUUAAAACUAUAUAUGAUUUUAAUUCGUAUAUGUAACACAAUGAUAUGAAUUUUCUUAUAUGAUGCUGAAAAUGAAAAAUCUUGAACAUAGAACAAUAUAUCAUAUAUAUGUAUAUAUAGUCAAGAUCAUAGGUUGUAUAAUUGUUAUAUGAUUGCUUAAAAUAAUCACAUGACUUUAUAUUUUAGUCUUGAUUAUUAUGUUUUGUAUAGGUUCAAUUUUGAUGAUGAAUUGUCACUAAUGGAAUUUAACCUAAUUUUGCUAGGUUUUUAGAUAAAGCAGCAUUUAUUACACCAAAAGAUUUGAAGCAAAUGGAAGAAAAUAAAUGCAGUCCAUGGUUUCUAUCAACUGUGACACAAGUAGAAGAAGUGAAAUGCAUAUUAAGAUUACUCCCAAUUUGGUUAUGCACUAUAUUAUUCUCUGUUGUCUUCAGUCAAAUGGCAUCACUCUUUGUGGAACAAGGUGCUGCAAUGGAGACUAAAAUUUCCACUUUUCACAUCCCUCCUGCAAGUAUGUCAAGCUUUGACAUUCUCAGUGUAGUUUCCUUCAUCUUCAUCUAUCGGAGAAUUCUCGACCCUCUUGUUGCUAGAUUUACAAAGAAAUCCAAAGGUAUCACCGAGCUUCAAAGGAUGGGAAUAGGUCUAGUAUUAGCAAUCAUAGCAAUGGUUUCAGCAGGAUUAGUAGAGAUUUUCCGGCUAAAGUAUGCGAUAAAAGAAGAAAAAAAUUGUAGCCAUUGCGAAGGGACGAGUUCAUUAUCGAUAUUUUGGCAAGUACCGCAAUAUGUACUAAUAGGAGCAUCAGAAGUUUUCAUGUAUGUUGGUCAAUUGGAGUUUUUCAAUUCACAGGCACCUGAUGGAUUGAAAAGCUUUGGAAGUGCACUUUGUAUGACUUCAAUAUCAUUAGGAAACUAUGUUAGUAGCUUGCUUGUUGCAAUUGUGAUGAAGAUAUCUACUAGAAAUGAAGGCAUGCUUGGUUGGAUUCCAGGGAACUUAAAUAUGGGACAUUUGGAUAGGUUUUACUUCCUCUUAGCAGCACUCACUGCAGCUGACCUUCUAGUGUAUAUUGCAAUGGCUAGGUGGUAUAAAUAUGUUAAAUUUCAUGGAAACAAUAUUGAACAAGGUAACAAUAUUGAGGAAAAUGUUGUGUAAAACCCCUUGGGGUGUAUACAUCAUGAGAGGGUAAAGAGAUAAGAGAGAUAUGUGAUAUGUGUGAUUGAUAAAUUUGUGAUGUGAUUGAAAGAGAGUUAGAAAAAAAAUAAGGUGUUGAAUGAGUGUAGAAAGUGUACACGUUAAUUGUUGUAAGAACAAUGUCUAAUAUUAUACCUAAGUCUUAUCGAUCUUCCAAUUGUAUUAUUUACUAUGAUACUAGAGAAAUUCAUUUCUCAGUGGAGUAAAGAUAUUAUAGAUUGUAUAUGUUGGUGGUUUUUAUCUAUAAUUAUAUUAUAUUAGAAAAAUAUAUAUUUGAUUUUCUUAGCAUAUUUGGAUCUCAUUUACAUCAACUUUUUAAAUUAAUUAACAUUCUAUGAGGGAGGUGUGGUUGAUUGUUCCUUUUGCUUACUUCGCAAGUUAAAAUAAUUUCUCAAAAAAUUACGGGUGGAAUAUCGCAAUAGGUUGUUCGUAAUAUUUCACUUUGGUAGGACCGGUCCAACAAAUUAAGAGGUCUAAAGCAAAAAAUUUAUUGUGGCUUUUAAAAAUAUUUUCUUUAACAAAAUAUUUAUAUAAAUUCAAUUUUGCUGAGAACAAAAUUUGAAUUCAUGAUCAAGAGCAAUUGAAACAUUUUUGAUAAUCAAUUAAGUUAUGCAAAUACCUAUGAUUUAUCUAUCAUAUAAUAUACUUAUAACAAAAUUAAUUUUUUAGAGACCUUUCUUUUCACCCAAAAUUUUAAAGCCUAAAACUCUUGAUUGGUUUGCUUAACUCUUAGACCGACCCUGCACUUUUGGUGUAAAGAGUUUGAAUACCCAUCUUACUCCAUUAAAAAUAAAAUUGCUUAUAGACACAAAGCUACAAAGGUAGUUCUUGCCUGUAAAGACAUCUUUCAUAUGAAAAAAUAAAAAUAAAAAUCUGGUAUGGCUAUGGUCAUGCUAUGUCAUAUGGGGGAAUUUUCCCCCAAGGGUAAGUUUCAGCACAAAAGAUCACUUACAAUCUUUGUGUUUGAAGGUUAAUUAGCUGCAGUCUUUUUGUUGGUUGAAAUCGAGAUACGUUACUUUUAAAUUUGCUUAUUAUUUAUGGCGGUUUAACCUCAUUCCUUAUUUAUCUAUUGUAAAUUAGAAUUUUUCCUCUUAUGUUGUUUUCGACUUGAAUUUGAUGUAACUGUUAUUGUUAUAAGCUCUUUUGGGUACAUCUUAUGAUGGAAGAACUUAUUUGGUUGGGUUUAUUAUAUUUUAUUUUAGUCUCUUAAAAAAAAAUAUAAUACUAUUAAAAAAUAAAAUGUACAUUCUAAUAAAUUGGGGUCCUAAAGAAAUAAGUUAAUUUUGACGGUGAUAUGUAAAUCUAAGUGUAUUCUUGUAUUCUUAAAAAUAAUUUAUUCUUUCUUUUUCUAUUAUUCUCUAACAUCAAUUAGUAUAUUAAAUCUACUAACUUAUUUGAGUUCACCUCGUGGUGCUGGUUUACAACUUCGGAGUGUGUUUCUCUCAAGAUUUUUUGUUUGAUUCUCCCUUAUGUCAAUUUUGACGGGUUAGUUUAUCUUUAUCAACAAAAAAUAUACUAUCUACUAUGUUUCUUACUUCUUUCUCUUAUCUUAAUCAAUUUCAUCUCUUUUUCACUUCUCAAUUUCUUUCUAUAACCAAUCACACUAUCUUGUUUUCUCGCACAAAAAAGUCUAUGUGAAUUAGGUCUUGGAAGUUUACCGGAACCAUGAGAAAAACCUCAAUAUUUAAACAACACUUACAGAAUUACAAAGUACUUAUAGAUAAUCUAUAAAAUAAGUUAUCAGAAUGACAACAUAAGUUAAACUCACACCCUUACGAGAUAAAGACCAACCUUACCAACUAACCAACCUUCAUUGAUCUAAUAACACCACCUUGAGUGAACUUAACACAUCUUAUUCUUGUUUGACAUAAUGGUCAUUUUCUUAAGCAAAGCAUAACAACGUUAGGAAAUAUCUUUUCAAGAGAAAAACAACAUUAGGAAAUCCAGCCAUAAUCAAAUGGUGACAACCAUAAGAGGCAAUCUUUAUGACAGCAAAUUGAUGUUUGACACUAUCAAAUAUUUAAGUGAUGAUAAUCAACAUCGUAGUCAAAACAACAAGUAUCUUCAUAUAUAAACGGUGCGCAAUGCCGAGAAAACUAAACUAAAGCUUUUCUAUAUAUAUAUCAAUUUUAUAUCAAUUAUUAAAUAUUGUUAGUAAAUAAGAUUAAAAUAUGCUCUGAACGUAACUCAGUUGGUAGAGAUAUUAGAUGUUGUAUAUAGGGAUCGGGGUUCAAACUCCGAACACUUCACCUCUCCACAAUUAAAUUAUGUGAGCUCUAGUCAUCAGACUAUUUGAACAAACAAAAUAAAAAAUAAAAAUAAAGUCUUUGUAUAAUGUUCUCUGUAUUGUUUCUAGUGUAGCAGGGCAGUUCUUAUAAUGAGCAAAUGGUCUUGUCUAAAAAAAAUUAUCAUCAAAUGCAUUAUUUUCUCUUAAAAAGAAAUUUGGAUUUUUCUAAUGUGUGGAAUGUUGCACAAAGGUACAAACUAUAUUUUACCAAUUAGUUCUCAUUUACCACCGUUAUUAAAACUAAUUUCUCUUUUUUUUUUCUUCCCAUAAAUAAAGACUAUAAUUUCUUAUUCCCCAAUGAUUUUUUUUUAAAAGAUAUGGACAUUAAAAUAAUAAAAUUUAAUGGUACUUCAUCCUAUUUUAAUUUCUUGUUUUUAGGGGACUUCAUCCUAUCAUUUGUUCGCUCAUUAUUGAAAUUGCUACAUGAGCAAAAACAAGAAUGAAAUUCAAUGAGAGAAAAAUCGAAGUUUAAAAUUCAGGGUUGUUUUAGAAAUUUUAGAAAAGGAAUACUAAAAAUCCUAAAUUUCCAAGAAGAUAGGGGCCAAGAACGCAUUAAAUUAAAAUUAAAAUAUUUAAAAUUUAGAAGCUGUUAAUGCUGUCAAUGAGUAAUGCAAGAUGUUACUAUCAUUCGUCCACAUCCAAAAAUAUGAUUUAAUUUAUAUUGUAAUUUCUUUUUUGCUAGUUGGUUAACUCAGUUUUUUAAUUUAUAUACACAUCAUAAAUUAAACAAGCAUCUCAUAUUAUUAUAAAGUACUUAAAAGUGCUUUGAUCAUAUGACAAGAGUCUCUUCUAUCUUAACCAAUGUUUUGAUUUUGAAUUCAGCUUUUAAGCAUGCAGCUGCGUACUCUUAUGAAGAGUUGCCAUUCAUUUGAGUUCUACUAGAUUUAAUGGAUUAGUCUCUACAAAUUAUGCGCGGAGGAUAGUCUUUUAAAAAAAUAUAUUAGAAAGUUGAUCUUGAUCAAUACUUGAAGUCGUCCUGCUUGAAAGUUCUGAAAAUGAAAUUUUGAAUAAAUAAACGCAAAAUGAUAAGUAGGAUAUGAUAUCAGCUUGUGCUUAUUCGUUUCUAUGUAGUUGGUGCAAGUUGUAUCUACUCAAGAAACCUUUUUUUAUGAUAAGCAAUCAAGUGCCCAACAAAACAAUAAUUAGCACCUUGUCAAAGAAACAAAUAAGCUGUAAUAAGCCAAUUAUUUAAGAGCAUGCUUUAAUUUUCAGUUUUCAUGCAUAAAAUAAUGCCAAUUUGGGCACAUAAUCUACCAAACAAUUUUGAAAUUUUGGUUUUAAUAUUCAGGAUGACACUGACUUCAUUCUCCCAUGUACGAGACCUUAAUGUCAGACGUAUAAUUCUCAUAAAAAAAUGAAAAGAUAAGACACAGUUUAAGACAAAAAUAAAGUCAUACAUACAAAUUGUUCAGCUCCCAACAAUGAUCAAAACAUGGACUCUUACCAUUUUUAACAAAGUAGUAAAUUUUAUAAUAACUAGCGAAAAGACGGGCACGUGAGUGUAUGAUUCUUUUUUUUUUUAAUAACACCAACAAUAAUCUUUAUUAUAGAAAAAGCAGGUGUUUAAGAGUAUGAUUGAGAUAAUGAAAAAGUAAGUAUAUGUACACUCAUCUAGUUUGUUGUACUUUUUAAAUGAUAAAGGAAAAAACUGAACACUUGUAUUUGCUACAUUUUUAUUUUAAUAUUUAAAUUUAUUCUUAUCUAUUUGUUACAUAUGUUAUUUAUAUUGAAAAUUGAAGGUAUUUUUGGAAAGAAAAAUCCAACCCAACAGAACUGAAAGUGGUAGUUUUCUUUAUAUAUAGUAUAGAUAAAAAAUGAGUAAAUAUGCAAUACCCCCUUGAAAUUGUAAGUUUCGUCAAUUAUCCCCCUGAAAUUAAUAAAACUUCAAUUACCCCCUGAAAUUGCACAACGUUAAUCAAUUUACCCCCUCCAUCAAAUUUUUCUGUUAGUGAACAUGACAUUUUUCAAAUGCCCCCCGAACUUGAAAAUUUAUAUUUUUUUUAUGUGUAAUGAGAACUAUUUAUGUUCUUUUUUAUUUAUUUAUUUGGGGGAUGUAUGAUAGCACUACGCCAAAAAAGGGAUUUAAUAGCACUUUUUUUUGCUUUUAAUAGCACUUAAAAGUGCUAUUGAAGCCUCCGCUAUUGUAAGCAUACUUCCUUUGAUAGCACUUUUAAAGUGCUAUUAAAAGUGAUUGUCUUUAAUAGCAUCUUCCCUAGAAGUGCUAUCGUUCCUACUUUGGUGCGAGUUAGUGAGGCUUUUUUCAAAUGGAUUUAAUAGUGUUUUUUGAGAAAGUGCUAUCAUAAAUCCUUUCUUUAAUAGCGUUCUUUUUAAAAGAGUGCUAUCGUAAGCCAUCUUUUAUAUAGAAAAAAAAAAUUUUAGAUUUUAAAAAGUAAAUAUUUAAAAAAAAAAAAAAAAUUGCAUUAAUCAUAAAAGUAAACACUUGCAUUAAUCAUAAAAAAAUACUAUAUGAGUCAUUCAUUAUAAAAGAACCUAACAACAAAAUACAACUCAGAUUCCAAUUACAAGUAUGGAAAUUAAAUCUUUCAUCAUAAAAGCAAAAUUACAUCAUUCACAUUUCGUUAAUACAUAGCACUCACAACCAUAAUAAAGAAAUUGCACAUUGGAGAUUCAUUGUACAUACACAACAAUUACACUUGAAAAUUCAGAUUGAUAUGUACCAAAUACUUCAAUUAGCUUAACCUUAUCAACUUUGAGCUGCAAAGAACAAUCACAAAUCAUAUCAAUACUUUAAGUAGUUACGACAAUGUUCACAAAGACAAAACAAACAGUAAUAAUUAGUAGUAGCGAACCCAUUUGGGGUUGGCCUAGUGGUUGGCUUGGGAUCUUGGAGUUUGCUCCUCCAAAGGUCUCAGGUUCGAUUCCCUCUGGUGCCAAUUUCGGUGGGCUAAGUCCAUACAGAGCUUGCUCUGGCUUUAAACGGGGCCCCCGCAAAUGGGCGGUGGGAUUGGUCCCCUCGGAUUAGUCGAUUCUUGGAUCGGAUACCGAGUUUUCAAAAAAAUAAAUAAAUAAUUAGUAGUAGCGGAAAUCACAGUUGAAAUAACUUGUUGAUAUGGUGAUAGUCUUCCCUUAAACUAAGUUAUUAUUACAAAGCAUAAUCAAAAGUAUGUUAGAAAGGUACAAGGUUUUGUGAAUGUAAUCUAGGCUCCAAGGUGUUUUAAAGACAUUCACCACAUGAUGUUCUCUAUAGUUUUAGAAGUUGGUGCCAAAUAGAGAAGUAAAAAAAAGAUAUGUUGCAAUGUGAAUAUAUCUUUUAGUGGAAUAAGUUGUACAUUCAUAAGGUAAAACACGUGAUAACUAUGAAUAUGAAUAAAGGAUCUAGGUAUCUGUCCUUAAAUUUGACAAGUUUGAAUCAAUAAAUUAAUCAAUCAAGGAUCUCAAGCAAUGUGUUUUUGUCUUUAAUAUGAACUAUAACUAUAAUUUAGACAAAACCAGAUCUCACAAACCAAUAUUAGAAACCAAAAUUUGAAUAAAAAAUAAGCUACUAAGAAGUACAAAAUAAUGUCAGUGUAACCACUUAAAUACUUAAAAAUGAAAGAGAGUAUGAAGCUUACUUUGAAGAUCUCUGCAACAACGAUUACAACUGAAAUAAUGUCAUCUCUGAAACGAGACAAUGGGUAUUUCAAGGAGUUAAUUAUAGAAAAAAUAAGUUAUUUUAACAUCAAAAUACAACAAAACUCACAUAUUUUGUCAUCUUUAAGUGCUUGAAUGGUUGGUUAAUGCCACAUUACAACACGUCGCUUGACAUAUACAAGAAAAUAUGAAAAAAGACAAAAGUUAGUCACCUAGAGAGAGAGGUCAACAUCUCAAAAAAAUAAAUAGAAAUAGUGGUCAACUUAAAAGAGGCCAAAGACCAAUUUCAGCUACACAUAUGUAAACUCACUUUCUCCUUUGAUUUAAAAGCUUACUAGUUUGAUACAUACUUAUCAAUUAUCAUCAAAUUUACUGCAGACUAAUUACAAUAAGCAAUGACAAUUUGCAGGAAAAAGAAAAGAAUAACAUUCUAACCUCUCCAAUAAAUAUGGCAGAAAGAAUGAUGGAAAAGGAAGGCUCUAGAGCUUUGGUGUGAGUGAAUGAGAAAGACACAUUUCCAAAGUAUGCACUACAACGAGUAGUGAUAUUGCUGCAAUAUGCAAACAAAUAGUAACACACACACACACAAUCAACACACUAAACUUGAUUAUUAAUAAAAACAGAACUCGAUGAUAGAUUUAGCUCCCUUACAAAGAUUAAGAACCCACACAAAGGUUACAAGAACAGUCCCAACAAUCAGGAACGGAACCAGAAAAUAAUAUUGAGGGUGACCAAGUUAAAACAUGGUAGAUAAACAAAAUCAACUUGUAGAUUUAGGGGCAUUGUAUUUGUGGUUGUUGGGUUCUAGGUGGCUGUGUGAAAAAUGUUUGACGGCUUAAACGCAUUUGGGGGAGGGGGGCAAAUAGCAAAGAAUACAAUAUAGGUCUUGUCAACAAAUUUCUUUGGGGUGGCAACAGCCCCUAUAUGGCUAUACCUAGUUUCGUCCCCGCCAGCAACAAAUUCAACUACAAUCACAGUCACAGGGAAAAGACAAACCUUUAAAACCGACAAAGAAAAUAGUUUGGACGGGACUGUAACACAAUGAGUUUGUAACGAAAUGGAAGGAGAUGAGGAAGCAGACUGUAGCAGCGAAUAGGAACAGCAGCAGAAGCGCAAAUCAGUGGUACAGCAGAUGCAGCGCACAACAGCAGUAGCAAUUAGGAGUAGCAGAACCGCAGCAAAAGCUCAAAGCCGCAGCAGUUCAGUAGUAGCAGCGCAAUCUGGAGGAUCUCAUGAAAAAAAAAAAAAAAAAGAGUAAAGGGAGUGAUAAGUACCAAUUUAUUGUAUGUAUUGAAGUAGAAUUUGAAGAGGUACCAUAACCCGAAUUCGCUGUCCUCGAACCAAUACUACUGGAAGAUCAGAAAACCAACUCAAUUGAAACCCUCAAUUGACUCCAAACGACGAAACAACACAAGCAAUUCUAGAUCACUCCCACCCCAAAACAGAACCGAGACAACAAAACAACACAAAUCUGAUCCACUACUGCAAAAUUCUGCAGGUUAUUUCACACCAAACAUCCCUGCAAUGUUAACAGAACACACCAAAUGCACAAACUUAAGACCAAUUCUAAGCGGCCGCACCUACACUACCAAUAUGGGAAAGGAAAGGAAAAAUAUUUACCUUCUUAUGAAUGGAAGAUUGUGUUCACCACUUGCCUCACAUAGAAUUUGAUUAAUCUGUAUCACAAACCCCAAAUUAAUACAUUAAAUGAAAUCAUUUUAAUUGACAUAUACACACAAUUAUCAAUUCAUAUAUACAUUAGAGUUUCAAGACAUCCCAAUAUCUGUUUGGUACAAUGUUAAAACACUCCAACCUUCACAAUAUUAUUAAUAAGAUAAUCAGUACGCUGCUCCUUAGAACAUUUAGCAAUACACAACUUAAAAUAAUUUCAAAAAAUCUACUUUUCCUAGAAACUGAAAAAAGACGAGGAGGCUGAAAAUCUUAUGAAGGAAGAGGAAGAGCAUAUGAAACUUCAGAAACAUGAAGCUUUGCAAUUGCUCAAGAACAAGGAAAAAACAUAAAACAUGAUCAAGGAAACAAAAUUGGAUCGUCAGAAGAAGAAACAUUAUCAACAGCAGUUGAACCAUAGGCUAAGACACGCCACUCAACAAACAAUCACAUGGGAACCAUCUCCAUUCAUACACAUACAAGGCGAGAACUUCAACCUAUACAAACCCCAACUGCACGUAAACACAAGGCAAGAACAGACCUUGCAAACACAACAUUGAAACAUAUAAUUGCAUUCAAUCACUUCCAUUUUCUUAAAUUAUUUCCUAUAAACAAAAAAAAUAAUAUAAUUCUAUUUACAUUAAAUUACUCUAAUAUACAUACAUCAUCAAAUUGAAAACAACUCAUUCUAAAAAAUUCAAUUCUCUCACCAAAAUCUAUAUAGCACCAACACACUUCGGCUCAAAUGCACAACUAGUGUCCGACAAGGGUUGGCGUAAGUGUUCGACACCAAAAACAACAUCUAUACAUAUCAUUACAGAAUCACUUUCAGUUUCUUAAGUGGUGGUGUCGACCUCUCAAAUUGGGCAAAUUAUAAUCAAAUUCUAUAAAAAAAAACAAAAAAAAACUAAUCAAAUUACAUCACACUAAUAUACAUAAAUAUAUCAUAAAAUUGAAAACAAUUUCUUUAAAACAAACUACUAUCAGUGCACCACCGACACUGAAAAGCUGAUUGAGAAAUCAAAAUAAAAAGAAACUAAUACUUACCAAAUUAGGGUUCAAUUGAUUUCUGAAAGAUGGGGGUUUCAAUCAAUUGAUUCAAUUAGAGUUCAACGAGGGAGAGAGAGAGAGAGAGAGCGUUCAAAUGAUGGGUUAGGUGAGGGAUAGAUCGAUGAAGGUAUGAGGUUAGGGACUAGGGAGAGAGUUCGGCAUUUGUGGACUCCAGCAAAUGAUGUUUUGUAUCUUAUCGUUGAGAGUGAGAUGAUGACAUGGGAGAUAUGGGGUUCGAUGGGUAUGAGUUUGCUGAGGCUGAGAUUCGAAUGAUGUUCAAAGAAGGUCUGGGUUCAAAGUGAGAGAAAAGAAGUUCUUAUUGAUUGUGUGAAAAGAAGUGGGAAAGGAAAAUUAUAUCAGCGCGAACCCAAAAUAGUUUCAGCUUUUUUUAAUUUUAUUUUAACACGCAUGAGAUAGAUAGCGUUCGGUGUAAAGUGCUAACAAAUUAUACCCCUAUGUUAGCGUUUUAGCGGAAAGCGCUAUCCCACUCUUUCUUGAUUUUUUAUUUAUUUAAUUUAAAUAGCCAAUAAUAGCACUUCUUUAGAAAGUGCUAUUUUACAUGUCAACCUAUAUUAGCGCCCGCGCCAAACUGCUAUUAUUUGUACGAGAGUUAUCUCUUAGAUAGCACUUUCUUUAAAAGUGCUAUUAAAUAGGCGCUACUAAAUGUCAAAAUUGGUGUAGUGUAGAAAUAUAACAUAGUGAUUUCCUUGAUGAUUGAUUUAUUAAAUUUAACCUGGAGAAGUGAAUGAAUGAUACCAUUUUAAAAAUAUGAACUAAUUUGAGGUUUGGUCUUUUCUUUUUUACAUUGCAUGUCAUAUUAGAGGAAAAUGCAUAGACUUUAAAUCUUAGACUAUUUGAACUAUUUGGGAAAUGAAAAGCCUUUAUAUUAUUCUAUGAAGUGUGAGUUAUGAUUCAAGGUUCUUGGCUUGUUUUAGUAUCAAAAUGAAAAAAGGCUUGUGUCAUGUUUUAUACAUGAAAAUUAGUUCACAUCUAAUUAUGUACUAAUCUUGUUCUUGUCUUGUGAAGGUGGUGCACACUCCAUAAUUGUGACUUUGUUUAUCCUUAUUGCUAUUCAUGCCAAGUCAAAGCCUGGUAAACUCAAAGUGAUGAGUGUGAAUUCUCUCAGGAUCGUUGUACAUAAUAUAAAUUUUUAAGUUCAUGGGGCAUUUUGCACAUAAGUGCAAAACUUCAUGGGAGUAUUCGUAAAACGUCAUGUUCACUAACUAGAAAAAUUUAACGGAUGGGGUAAAUUGAUUAACAUUGUGAAAAUUCAAGUGGGUAAUUGAAGUUUUGUUAAUUUCAGGAGGGUAAUUGACGAAACUUACAAUUUCAAGGGAUAAUCGCCUAUUUACUCGAUAAAAAAUGAAAGAGUGAUGAUGGAUUAUAAUAAUAUUGAUAAGGAGUGAUGAUGGAUUGUUGGUUUUUUAGAGUAGCACGUUUUAUUUAAUUUUAGAAUAAAUUUGGUGCUCGUGAGCUUAUUUCAACUGGUAAGAACAAUGCAUUAUAUAUGUAAGGUUCGGGAUUUAAAUCUCGGCCAAAAAAAAAAUAAAAAAAUUAGGAUGACUAAGUUCAGGAGAUAAGUUUAAUUAUGUUUAUCCUUUUAUCUUUUAGUAACAAAGUUAUUUAGGAAAUUAUUUUUUCUUUUGGUCAGGUGGUUAGAAUUCACUUUAUAAGGUUAAUAAGUGGCGUAUUCGGAGUUCGAACCCUGAUCCUUGUAUAUAAUAAUUCAUUGUCCUACCAACUGAGCUAUGUUCACGAGACUAUUUAGGAAUUUUAGUAUAACGUUAUCAUUGAUAUUUUAUUGUUGUAUAGUUAGUUAUUUCAUUAUGAAUAUGCAUUAGUUUAUAUAAGCCUUGUACCACUCAUGAUUAGAAUCAAUGAAAAAUUAUCAAUUUUUUCUUCUAAGAUGUCUCUAAAUUCUGGAGUGUGACCCAACUCAAAUUUGAUCAUAUCAUUUGGUGCUUUUAUUGAGAGACAUAUUUGUCAACAAAAGUUUAUGUAUUAAAGGAGAUAUGUGGUUUUCCUUCAAAAAUAAAAGAGUAGUGGUAUUUGUACACCUUUUCUAAAUAACUUCCAUGACAACUUUGUUUUUCUCUAUUUUGAUUGGUCAAAAUCAAUAGAGAGAGAGAGAGAGAGAGAAAGGUAGAGAGAUAAUAAGAAUGUAAUGUGAGUAUGAGAGAUAAAGUUGUCAAAAAGUUGUUAGAAAUUGGUUGUACAAAUAUCAUUUCUGAAAAUAAAAAGGAGGUUUGAGGUUUAUUUGAGAGUGUAUCAUUUUUUUUCUUAUAUAGACGGUUGAAGUUGUCACGUAUACACGAUGCCAUUAGGCGGUUUCACCUUACCUGACGUGUAAUCCCAAUUGUAUACAGUUUCUUCUAGAGUGUUCUCCUCCUCCAUUUAAUUUACACUAUAAUCUCGAGCUCCAACAAAUGCUCUUAUAUCACUUGUUGUGUUCAACGAGCUUAUUACAAGUGUAAAUUAAAAUUCCAAAAUUCAAAAGAAAUUGAAUUAUGCAGUGUAGCAAUAACGAUAAAAAUUUAACACCAAUAUUUAAUAUGAAAACCCCUUUAAUGCUUAAGGAAAAACCAUGAGACAAAUUUUGAAAAUAUUCCACUAUAUUUAAAAAUAUUGCACUAUUCUCUCCACUCUCUUUCACACUCAAGAGAUACAAUAUAGUGUUUUUAGUGAGACACACUCCUAUUUAAAUACAAUUAUUAUUUAUUUUUUCUCUCUCAAUAUCGAAGCUUUGUAUUUGCUUUGAGCUUCGGAUGCUUUGUUCCAUAUACCAAGACCUCUAAUCCUUUAUUUAUAAAUGAAAUGUGGCAAUGUGAAUUCAAUGCUUCUUUGUCAAAUAUUGUAGGAAGCUGAAUGUGAAAUCUGCAAGCUAUAACAAUAUCAGCACCGCAAGCUAUAACAUAGCCUUGGCCUUUUGCCAUAGUAGAAACUUUGGCAAGCUUGUAUCAAUUGUCUUUGGCCGUAAACAACACCCACACGUGGUGGGGACAAUAGUUUAUGACUUUCAGGUUAUCUUUAGGAGAAAAUUUAGGUAAAGUACCUUAUGUACCGGUGGUAUUAUUGUUCCCCAAUAAUAAUAAUAAUAAUAUACGUGUCCUUUUUUAUCAAAAAUUAAAAAAUUAACUUUUCUUCUUUCAUUCCUCCGUCUCGCUAUUUUUACCGCUCAUAGCUACCGUUUUAAGACAUGUUUCAGGUAUGUAACAUGUUCCAGAAAUUAGGUUAGUGUCUUGAACAAAGUAGAUUUCUUGUACCCACAUACUUUAUUUCUUGUUUAUUUCAUGGUUUAGCAUAAGUGGUUGGACUAAAACUGUCAUUUAUAUGCGUUUCUGGAGUUAGAAAUAGGGGGAUAUGACUAAACCUGCAAAAAACAUAUAGUUUAUGGACGAUUUUGUUCGAUUUAAAAGAGGUAGAACCAUUUUCGUGAGUUGAACAAAAUGCGAGGACCAAAAGUGUAAUUAAGCCUUAAAAUUAACUAAAAGUCUUUAAAAUUAUACUUCGACAAAUCUCUACACUAUUUUGAUAGUAUAGUUUAAGGAUCUUUUAUUAAUUUUAAUAGUUUAGAGACAAAUUGAUAAAAUCAUAAUAGUUUUCUGAAACAAAACAAAUAAUAAUAAUGAGGACUAUCUUUCAAAAAAAAUAAAAUAAUAAUGAGGACAAAAUUAACGGUUUAUUCUCUUUGGGCGAUGCUUUGUUCCAAUCAAGCAAUGAAUCCUACCAAUAUCACAUGUAAUGAUUGUAAGCUGUAAAUCAAGGAGAAGAAAUAAAGCACUACACGUAGUAUAUUUAUAUAAUGACAAAAAAUUAUUUGCAAAUUCAACUAACUAUUUAAUUUAUGAUUAUAUAUGAACUUUAAUAUUUUAUUACAUAUAUUUUAAUAUUUAUAUAUUCUAUAUAAUAAAAUAAAUAUUUAUCACGUAGUAUAUUUAAUAGUUUUUUUUUCCUUUUUACAAAAGUAAGUAUUAAAUGUUGUUUUCUCAAAAUUAUUAAGAUGAUACUCUUUUUGAUUUUAUAUAUAAGAGAAAUUUUGAUCAACAAUAAUUUAUAUACUGGUAUAAAAUUUUAAAUUAUAUGUAUCAAGUUUUUUCAACUCACUUUCUUGGCCUAUUAAACACUACAAUAACAUUAAGACUUGAUACAUGAUGUGGUUAUCAAAACCUAAAACCAUUUCUAGUGUUUAGGAUCCAAUAUAUGUUAUUCUAACCUAGACUCAAAAGGUAUUUUUCAAUAACACUUAUAUAGCAGUCUUCAGCUGUCAAAAUUAAAAGGUAUCUAACCUAGAUGUUAUCUAUCUUCAAGCUCUCCUUCAAAAUCUGCAAAGAACACUUAUAUAGCAGUCUUCAGCUGUCAAAGUUAAAAGCACAAAACCAUAAGCAAAAGAUAAAGGGAGAGAAGAGAGAAAGAAACACACCAAUGAUUGUUGACCAAGUUCGGUCCAACUUGACCUAAUCUGGGGAAGAGAUUGAUAUCUCCAAUCCACUAUCAAUGAGUUCUUACAAAGAGAUAUAAAUGAGUUACAAGAAAUUAGCUUCAACAAGUUCACAAAGAACAACCCUAAUUGUAACACCCCGUUUUCCCAAUAUAAAAAUUUCAAACAUAUAAUCAGAGUAAUCAUCAAUUAACGGGAUAUCACAUUCUUAAAAAUCUUAGAAACAUAGAUAAAUAAUAAUUUAUCCUUCAUCAACCAAAUAGCAGCGGAAUUAAAUUCAAAUCAUCAUAAAGUCUUGGCACGUAGGCCUCAUUAAAACAUCUCAUAAAAAUUCAGUUAAACAUCAUAAAUGAACACGUAAAAGAAUGAAGCAUGAAUAACAUAAACCCCAUCCCGUUACGUAUCAGAGCGACCUAGAUGACUCGGUGAGGCAAGGCCAUUGACGACAGCAAACUGCACACUAAGCUCGAUCACCUGCAAGUUACUCAUACGAAGAGCAACAUUUCCAAGCAGAAGGGGUGAGAUUUCACAAAACAAUAAUAUUAAUCAAUAUAAUUCAACAAACGUAAUUAACAGCAUAAACAUCUUAAACAUCAUUGCAUCUUUGAUAAACAAUUAUCAAGUAAUCACUUCAUUCAAUCAUCAUCAAUAUCAUAACAUUUUAACAUCAUUUGACUCGACAAUGCAACAAUGCAACCUAAACCUCUUAUAUGCAUGUGGUACCAAUUCAGGGCAUGAGCCCCCAACAUUAUAGUAUUAAUAUACUUUCAGGGCAUAAGCCCCCAACAGUUUAUUUUAAGCAAAUGCUCCAUCAUGGUGAGUACAAAGCUCCAGGGCAUGAGCCCCCAACAAAUGUAUGCUAAUGCAUGGACUCAAUCAUCUAAAACAUCUUAAUCAUCAUCUCAUAUACAUCCAAUAAUUUGGAGUUCAACAUCAUCUUGUAUAGACUCAUGCAACUUAGUUAAAUAACGAAAGCAGCAUAAUCAGAUCACAACAACAUUAUAACUUCAUAAUAUCAAUUCAUUUUCAACAACAUCAUGAUCAUUCAAUAAUAUCUCAAGUAAUGCAUUUAAUCAUUAAAUCACAUUACAAACAACUUAGCAGUUUAAACAGCCUCACAGAUUUCAGUUAACAUCUUAAAUAUGUCUUACUACUACCUAAAGUUCCAUUCCUAAUCAAUUCAAGCAACUCAGGUCACAACAAUCUCAAUUGCACUCAGUUCUGGAAGUGCUCGCGAGGCGAGAGCAUCUUCUCGCCAUGACGAGUACAAGCCAUAUUUCCAACUCCAGUUGUUCGAAGCUAAACCAGGUUCAAUCUCGUUCUAAAUCAUCAUCUAAUCUUUAUUAAACAUCUUAAGGCACUCAAAAGCAUCUAAGGUUCAACUCAAAAGUCAAAAUUACGAAAUUCAACAUGCUCUCUGGUCAUGCUCGCUAUGGCGAGUAAGGUUGCUCGCUGUGGUGAGCUACGACUUGUAACUCGCAAGGCGAGGGGUAAUGGCUCGCGUGGCGAGCGAUGAACUUCAUCACUCGCGAGGUGAGGAUCAUCGUUCGCCAGGGCGAGCGAUGAAUACAGGCUCGGGCAGAAUUGCAGUUUUUACAAAAAUCCAUCUAAUCUCAUGGUUUAAAGCCUAAUUUUGAUUCCUGAAAUCAUCCUAUUCAUAAUCUAAGGUCAAAGGAUGGUUUUUACACCAAUUUAACAACCUAACAUCAUCGGAUCAUCAAAAUCACCAAUUAACCCUAAUUUCAUAACUUUUCUAAUUCAAUCCUAACUUUGUUAAUUGAUCAUCAGAAUUAUAAGGAUUAAUACUACUAAAUCAUUAGUCUCACCCUUACCUUGAAUGAAGAAAAUCGCAGCACUCUCUCUGGUCUUCUCCCUUCUCUGGCUUUUUCUCCCUUUUCUCCAAAAACAGUCGUACGUACAAAACGUUUUCUAAAACCUAGGUCUUUCCUUUUUAUAUCUCCUCCUAAUAUAUUAUCUUAUCUCACUUUCUCCCCCAAAACUCUCUAAAAUCUCAAAACAACCCUUAACUAAAUAUUUUAUUUUAUUUUCAAAUCUUAUUUUAUUAAACAAUAAAAUAAGUCUCAUAUCUCAUAAAAUCAUCAAAACUCAUAGCUCAUCUAAAAAUCAUCCAAAUCAUCUGAAAUCGUCAUAAAUCAUCAAAAUUCACAAAUAUAUUAUAUAAAUAUAAUAUAACUCGUCUAAACUUGAUUAAAUAAAAGUGGGCGUUACACUAAUUUCUACCAAUUUUCCCAAUCUCACCAAUGAACAAGACACUCGAUGAUUUUCACUCACCCAAUGUGUUUACAAUGUUUCCCAACCCAAGAGAACUCUAAUCAAAUAUCAUCAACCCUAAAGUUACCUCCUUUGAUUUCCCAAGUUUAUCUCUCUUCAAGCUCUCCUUCAAAAUCUGCAAAGAACACUUAUAUAGCAGUCUUCAGCUGUCAAAAUCGUGUCACGUUUUCCCAAAUCGUGACACGUUUGGUGCGUACGACCCAAGGUACGACCAAUCUUAUCCUGAAAACUUGCCCAGCAAGCUGAAAAUCGUGUCACGAUUGGGCACCCUGCAAAACAGCUCUCGACAUUGCAAAAUCGUGACAUGCUUCACAAAUCGGGUCACGAUUCCAAGUUUUCCUUUCUUCACAAAUUUGAAGAUAAAUACAACAUACACAAACAUUUAACAUGAAGACCCCUUUAAUACUUAAGGAAAAACCAUGAGACAAAGUUCAAAAAUAUUCCACUAUUUUAAAAUAUUGCACUACUCUCUCCACUGAUCUCUUUCACACUCAAGAGAAAUAAUAUAGUGUGACACACUCCUAUUCAAAUAGAACUUUUUUUCUUCCUCUCAAUAUCGAAGCUUUGUAUUUUCUUUGAGCUUCGGAUGCUUUGUUCCAUAUACCAAGACCUCUAAUCCUUUAUUUAUAAAUGAAAUGUGGCAAUGUGAAUUCAAUGCUUCUUUGUCAAAUAUUGUAGGAAGCUGAAUGUGAAAUCUGCAAGCUAUAACAAUAUCAGCACCGCAAGCUAUAACAUAG
rnacentral:lncRNA from 1 species